CAACUUUCAACAACGGAUCUCUUGGCUCUCGCAUCGAUGAAGAACGCAGCGAAAUGCGAUAAGUAAUGUGAAUUGCAGAUUUUCAGUGAAUCAUCGAAUCUUUGAACGCACCUUGCGGUCCUUGGUAUUCCGAGGAGCAUGCCUGUUUGAGUGUCAUUA
rnacentral:rRNA from 1 species